rnacentral:rRNA from 1 species
UAACCUAAACGAUGCCAGCUAGCGAUCCGCCAAAGUUCCUCCGAUGACUUGGUGGGCAGCUUCCGGGAAACCAAAGCAUUUGGGUUCCGGGGGAAGUAUGGUUGCAAAGCUGAAACUUAAAGGAAUUGACGGAAGGGCACCACCAGGAGUGGAGCCUGCGGCUUAAUUUGACUCAACACGGGAAACCUCACCAGGCCCGGACACCGGAAGGAUUGACAGAUUGAGAGCUCUUUCUUGAUUCGGUGGGUGGUGGUGCAUGGCCGUUCUUAGUUGGUGGAGCGAUUUGUCUGGUUAAUUCCGAUAACGAACGAGACUCUAGCCUACUAAAUAGACGUACUUUAUUACCGGCAUCUCAAGGCCCAUCGGCUGUAUUGUUACUGAAUGUUAUUUGUAUAUUUUGUUGAUAUAUAUUUAUAAAUAUGUAUGAUUUGGUAAUA